rnacentral:rRNA from 1 species
AAUCAACGCUGGCGGCGUGCCUAACACAUGCAAGUCGAACGCGAAAGCCCCUUCGGGGGUAAGUAGAGUGGCGUCCGGGUGAGUAACACGUAGGUAAUCUGCCUUCGGGUGGGGAAUAACCAGUCGAAAGAUUGGCUAAUACCGCAUAAUGCAGCGGCACCUAAUGGUGAUUAGUUGUUAAAGCGGGGGAUCGUAAGACCUCGCGCCUGAAGAGGAGCCUGCGGCAGAUUAGCAGUUGGUGAGGUAAUGGCUCACCAAGGCUUCGAUCUGUAGCUGGUCUGAGAGGACGGCCAGCCACACUGGCACUGACACACGGGCCAGACUCCUACGGGAGGCAGCAGUGGGGAAUUUUGGGCAAUGGGCGAAAAGCCUGACCCAGCAACGCCGCGUGAGGGAGGAAAUCCUUCGGGAUGUAAACCUCACAAGCAAGGGAAGAGAGCUCAAGGCCGAAUAAGCUUUGAGUCCGACGGUACCUUGCGUAAGCCACGGCUAACUACGUG